GUUGUUUCUCUCUGACAUGGCAUAGGAGCGCAGCAGUAGUGUUUAUCGUCCCGGGAUUUAAAGUCAGUUGCUCCAGAGGAGACAAAUUACAUAAUCUUAGUUUAACAAAUAACAAUCACGUUCUCGCAGUAUGGGAGGUCAUGACGCGCAUCAUCACGCACCGCCGUACAAAAUACCCAGCCCUGAUAUCUACAAGGUGGAGGAUGUACCGGAACUGAAACGUGUUCAAGAAGAGUUGGCCAAGAAAGGACUGAAGGAUCCUUGGCUGAGGAACCAUGUGUGGCGCUACAAAAGAAGCCAGACGCCUUUCAUGCGCGCCUUAGUAACUCUAACCAGAGGCUGGAGGAUCGGCGUACCAGCGUUCCUGAUAACUAUCGCCGUCGAACAAUACUUUGGUAUCGACUACACGGGCCAUGGACAUCAUCACGGGGACGAUCAUCACGGGGACGGUCAUCAUUAGUGCUCGCUUUUAGAUAUUAAUGUGGCAAUGAGGAAGUAAGACAUAGUAGAGUGUAAAGCGAUUUGUUGCAGAGAUUCCUCUUAACGUUGCAUCUAAUGAUUAGUAAGAAUAACUGCGAUACGAGAACGGUCGCUAUACAGGCGAAAAUGUAAGAGUUGUACAACGCCAGAAAGAAGGCGAACACGGUGAUCUCAAACGUCACCAACAGCCAUUCGUUUCCGUGAAGCGCCACUUUGUUGAAGGAACAAUUGUUAUCUGCAAGAAUAAAAUUAGAUUUAUCGAAA